UCCCAGAACACUUUGAUUCAUCUACCAAAACGCCUCGUGGAAUUGUACCAAAAGCAUUUAUUUGAAAUCUAUUUCCAGAGUCCUUAUAGCAUAGCACCCCCUGACUUGCAGUGAAAAAGACACACAUCACAGCUAUGACAGCCCUGACUGUCCAGUGACCUUCCACACACAAAGCACUUUCAGCGACAGCUCUCGUUUGGCCAGAGCCAUUGUUCCCAAUUUCACAGAUGAGGAAAGAGACACCGAGGACAGUGGCAGGUGGAGAAUGGAGCCCAGCUCUCUGGAUUCCAAGUCCUAGCUCUGCCUGCCACUGUAUGCUGCCCCCCACCCCCAACAUAAGAGCGAACACGAUGAACUCAUCUAGGACCUGGGGGUAGGACUAAUUCUGGUUGGGGUUUAUCAUUCCCAUAGGAGCCCCACCUGGUUCUUCCAGAGACUUUCUGAACAGAGGAUCCGAGUGGCCCCACUAACCUAGACUCGCUCCCUAACUGUGAGGGGAAGAGCUAUUUCCCCAAGUGCAGGUCUGGACCUCCUGGGACCUCUAAGGAAGGUAAUGAAAAAUCUAAUUAAUUAACAAGAAAAAAAUUCUUCCUUACUACUUUUAAAAAAACGUGGCUAUAAGUCAGUCUUUUAAAAUUUGUUUAAUUAAGACAAUUUAAACAUGGAAAUUCUUUUAAAGAAUUUCGUACAUAUUAUUCCAGACCUAUGACUAUGUAUGCACAGAGAUGUGGCUGCAUAAGUGUGCAUAUGGAAAGAGUUUUCUUUACCCAUUUCAUACAUCAUUCUGCCACUUGUUUUUUUCAUGGAACAAUGUAACUCAGACAGCUUCCUAUAGAUAUGUGUCACUCGGUUUAAUGUGGCAUGGUGAUUUAUAGUUUGGAUGUACCAUAGUAUAUAAAAUAUUCCCCUACUGGUGGGUAUUUAGGUUGUUUCUGCUGUUCACUUUUACAAAUAGUACUUUUACAUAUAAAUCCUUUUACAUAUGACUGUGUACAUGUGCAAGAAGCCCUGAAGGAUACAUUUCUAAAAAGGAAAAUUGUUGGAGCAAAGUCUAUAUAGAUUUUACAUUUUUAUAAAUACUGUUAAAUUGUCCCUCAGGAAGGCUGAACUCACUUUUCUGUUGACUCUUCUCAUCCUUUUUUUUUUUUUUUUUUUUCUCUUUCUUUCUUAAUUUUCUAGUCUCUUCCUAUUCGCUGGGCCACUUUUAUCCUAUGUUCUAAUUUUAAGUCUUCCUCCUCCCACACCCAUUUAUCAGAAAGCCCUGCGGGAUAUACCUUCAAAUAUGUCCGAAGCACAAGCCCUUCUUACCCUUUCCCCUGCCAGCACCUGGUGGAAGCCACUGUCAUCUAGCUUCCUACACAUCCCCCUGUAUUUGCUUUUGCCUCCUUCAAACUAUUGUCAACACAGCAGCCACGGUGACCUUGCUAACACUGAGUCAGACAGAGCGGCCUUCUGGUCAACACCCCCCAGUGCUCCUCCGUUCACUCAGUGCUGCCACACGGUGGCCUCCAUAGCCCACUCGCCUCCCUGAUCCACUCUGCUCCAGACAUCAACCUUCCACCAGCACUCCACGCCUGCCCCCACUUCGGGUCUUCGUUCCAACUGUCCCCUCCCUCCAGGCAUUGCUUGACCAACUCCUUCAUCCCCUUCAAGUCAGCUCAGGCUGCACCUUCUCAGCAAAGCCAUCCUGACACUUAAUUCAUCUUGCAAACGCCCCCUCUGGCUCCCUGUCUUCUUUGCUCGCUUUUCUUUUCCCUCAGCAUUUACAACCCUCUUACCUACUAUGUAUCUAACUUUUUAUCAUGAUCAUUGUCUCUAUCCUCCCCCCACGUGAAUGGAACAACAAGAUAAGGGAGCCUUGUAGUGAUGUUAUAGCUCUGUAUCUUGAUGGUGAUGCCUCCGCUAAAGUACAUGUGUGACAAAACUGCAUAUAACUACACAUACACCAGUGCAUGCAUAACUGGAGAAACCCAAAUAAGCUCUAUUGACAGUAAGGCAGGCUGGGUGAGUGUAUGAGGUCCACUGGACUUCCCUGUACAUUUCUUUUUUUUUUUUUCUGACUUUUUAGGGCCACACCUGCGGCAUAUGGAGGUUCCCAGGCUAGGGGUCCAGUCGGAACUACAGCUAACAGCCUAAGCUGCAGUCACAGCAACACAGGAUCCGGGCUGCGUCUGUGACCUACACCACAGCUCACAGCAACACUGAAGGCUUAACCCACUGAGCGAGGCCAGGCAUUGAACCUGCGUCAUCAUGGAUACUAGUCAGAUUUGUUUCCGCUGAGCCACUAUGGGAACUCCUUCCCUGUACAUUUCUUUGAAACCUCCUGUAAAUCUAUAAUUAGUUCAACAUGAAGAGUUAAGAAAAAUUGCAAGCAGAAAUCCAGGCCAGGUAGGAAGUGCCUCUUAUCUCAGCCCAGAGAUGCUUCUGCUUCCUUGACUUUAUGAAAGGGAUGUUUGCCCCUUGGGUUACUCUCUUUAUUUUCCAUAUACCUCGCCCCUCUUUACUUGAGCUGGUUCUAAAAGUUUCAAUCACUUUUCAGAAGAAAGUCUGGAAAUACUUACUCAGAUGAACAUUACUCCUGUGGGGUUCUGAGAAAGUUACUCAGCUUUCUGUUCUUCAGCCUUCCCUUUGGAAAUCUGGACCAAUGGCAUCUGUCCCCUUCCUCACAGGUAUGCUGAGGUUAACAAAUCCACAGAAGUUCCAAUGAAGUCCUGAAAUCAAGGCACGAGUGAGAAUCCCCUCCAGCGAGCGCCCUACCCAUUCUCCUCACUGCACAAGUGUUCCUAUCACACUGUCUCCUUGGUCAGGUGUCAGCUCAUUCUAGAAGGACGUGAGGUUCUAUAUAAGCUACAACAUUGCUGACCACUGGAUAACUGGUAGUUAAUAAUACUACUAACUAUUCUGGGUCUGUCCUGGAUUUAUAUCCUUUCCCAAAUUUCAAAUUUAGUCAAAGCAAGUGUGAUUUUUCAAAAGCUACCUUAAAAUGCAUCAACGUACUGUUUAGUAGACAGACUUUUUAAAAUAUACAUACUCAGCUACUUUAAAGCAUAUCCCCUCUGAAUUUGGCCAAUAGAUUUUCAAACCAUUUUGUGCAUGUCGAUGUCAAUAUUUUGGCUAAAUUCUCCCCUCAAUACGUCCCCCUCAUACAUGUUCCUCUCUUUCUCUUCAUCACAGUAACCUUUCCUUUUCAUUCCCCUACUUCCUCUGGGACAUAAAUUUGCCGUGUCACUUCUAUUCUUACACUCCCCUGAAGUAUUUGCUGGUUGCGCUAACCAGCACUGGCAGCUGGGGUUGACCACUGAAAUCCCUGCAUGAUUGUUUCCAAAAGGUCAUAAUAAACAUUUCUUGACAUGUGCCUCAUGGCCUAGAAUCAACAAGGAGGGCAGUGUCAGCCCUGCAAGAACUAUACCACAUCGAGCCUUUGUACAAAUUAGAAAAAGGUGACCUCCCUGGGUAGACAAAGGGCUGAGUCAUGGCUGAAUUUCAAUCUUGACUUGCCCACAUAGGGCAUGCCCUCCCCAGCUGAACCCAGAAGCGUGAGACCAAGUUCAGGCACACAAGCUCAGCUCCCUCUGAUCAUUGCCCUGACUCCAUCAUUGACUUGCAGUGUCUCUAAGAGCAAGCUCUUGACCCUUCUGUGACACAAUUUUUCCCUGGGUCACAGUUAAAAUUAUAAAAUACUUAGACACAAGGUGUUACAAGUUUUUUUUUUUUUCUUUUUUUCACCGUGAUACCAAUGCUCAUUGGGAGAUCAGCAUUUCACUCAGCUCUAGGACAAGCUCAGACUGUUUGGGUUUCCUCUAAUGAGGGUGGGAACUCUGGCUAUUUUCAUCCUUGUUCCAUUUUCCUCUUCCAGUGCAGUGGUCUGUGCCCAGCAUUUACGACCUGCUGGCGGGGGCCUGAGGCGCACAUUUUCUUGAGUUGAACAAGAACAUUUAACACUCUCUGUCUGUCAGUUUGCAGUGGAACACACCCCCCCCCCCAGAUUUUCUACACGAUGUGAUGCCAGCUCUGGACACUUCUCACUCAGUGUUCAUCCCUGCCAGCUAGUCUGAAAAUUGGAACCAGAAACACUUGACAAAUCACUGGCCACAUUAUGCUUACAGGUGGUGACCUAUUGCUGUGCCGCUGCUGCUUAUUCAUGAAACCAGAGGUUAAGACUCCAUUUCUGAGAUGUAAGGUAGGGAAAGCCCCACAUAAAGCACUAGCGUUGGACAGAAUACCACAUAGACAAUUUCCCACUGAAAUGCCGGUUAUUAGAAGUCAUGUGGAGUCAGGAGUUGCCAUGGAAUCCAUUUGUUUCUAAACCAGCUCCUCCUACUGGAAUAGUUUUUCAUUAUCCUGUCUUUCUCACUGGGGGGAGGGGGAGAGGGACAGAGAGAGACAGACAGACAGACAAGCAGAUAUGCAGAUGUUAUCUGAUAUAAAACUAUGUUAUAAUUCUAAAACACUCAAGCCCUAAAAUGAAUAAUAAAUGUAAACAUUUAAGAAAGGUUCAUAUCAGCCUUAACACAUGCUUAUAUCACUGUCUGGUUUGGAGUGAAACAGUCACAUUGCCAUCACACGACUUCUGAUUAUUUAGGGAGACUAUGCGGUGGUGUAUCACAUGACAUUUAUCUUCACAAACAAGUUAUCAGAUCUCCAGGAGUGAAAAUAAAUAUCAAAGCAGAUCUAAACCACCAUAGGCUGCACACUUGUUUUUCCUGUUUUCUCCUAUGUAUCAUUUUUACUUAGAUUCUUAACCAGAUCAGUACAGUUUUCCCUGUGAAACUACUGCCAGGAUCAAUCUAUCCCCUUAUUCCUCCAAGUUAUUUGCUUAAAUUAUGAGAAGUGAUUGGCUGGCAUGUGUUAAUGCUUGAAUUAUUUUUUGGUAAAGUUUCCACAUAUUUAUAGGUAAAAUACAAAAACAAGUUGUUCAAAUAUCAACUUGGGACAACUGAAUAUCAAAACAUUUAUGGUUAGCCCACUAUUUUUAACAUAUGUACAAUACAAUUGACUGUAAUUAGUCAGGAGAUUGGUUGGAUGAAGACACAUUAAAAUUAUAUUUGUAUAUUUAUAUUUCAUGUUUUGCACUAAAGAAUAUUAAUUGUUUCAAUGAGGGGGGAAAAGUGUUGGUAGAUGACUCUAGAGCCUCAAACCUGUAUUUCUGACCAUCUCCACUUCCCAGCAUUCUGGUGAAAACCUCUCCCCCCAG
rnacentral:lncRNA from 1 species